rnacentral:rRNA from 1 species
CCUACGGGAGGCAGCAGUAGGGAAUAUUGCUCAAUGGGGGAAACCCUGAAGCAGCAACGCCGCGUGGAGGAUGAAGGUCUUCGGAUUGUAAACUCCUUUUGUUAGAGAAGAUAAUGACGGUAUCUAACGAAUAAGCACCUGCCAAAUCCGUGUCAGCAGCAGCGGUAAUACGGAGGGUGCAAGCAGUCCUUGGGAACACUGUGCGGAAAGGGCGCGUAGGUGGGUUAGCAAGUCAGAUGUGAAAUCCUAUGGCUUAACCAUAGAACUGCAUUUGAAACUGUUCUACUAGAGUAUGAGAGAGGUAGGUGGAAUUCUUAGUGAAGGGGUAGAAUCCGUAGAGAUCAAGAGGAAUACUCAUGGCGAAGGCGACCUGCUAGAACAUAACUGACGCUGAUGCGCGAAAGCGUGGGGAGCAAACAGGAUUAGAUACCCGUGUAGUC